rnacentral:rRNA from 1 species
UGCUCCAGUUGGAUGCAUGUCCUUGUGGGAAAAAUUUUUCUGUAUGGGAUGGGGGCGCCUCCUAUUAUCUUGAUGGCGGGGUAACGGCCCACCAUGGCUUCGACGGGUAGCCGGCCUGAUAAGGCGACCAGCCACCUUGUGACUGAUAUAAUGCCCCCACUCCUCCUGGAGGCAGCAGUGGGGAAUAUUGUUCCAUGGGGGCCACCCUGAUGCUGCAACGCCGCCUGCGGGAUGACGGCCUUCUGGUUGUUAACCGCUUUUUAUUGUGAGCAACCCCUUCGGGGUGAGUGUACCUUUCAAAUAAUUACCGGAUAACUCCGUGCCAACCUCCGCGGCAAUACCUACGGUGCAACCGUUGUCCCGAAUUAUUGGGCGUAUUGGGCUCCUAGGCGGUUCGUCACGUCCGGCGUGAAAGUCCAUCUCUUAACGGUGGAUCCGCGCCGGGUACGGGCGGGCUUGAGUGCGGUAUGGGAGACUGGAAUUCCCGGUGUAACGGUGGAAUGUGUAGAUAUCGGGAAGAACACCAAUGGCGAAGGCAGGUCUCUGGGCCGUUACUGACGCUGAGGAGCGAAAGCGUGGGGAGCGAACAGGAUUAGAUACCCUGGUAGUCCACGCCGUAAACGGUGGAUGCUGGAUGUGGGGCCCUUUCCACGGGUCCUGUGUCGGAGCCAACGCGUUAAGCAUCCCGCCUGGGGAGUACGGCCGCAAGGCUAAAACUCAAAGAAAUUGACGGGGGCCCGCACAAGCGGCGGAGCAUGCGGAUUAAUUCGAUGCAACGCGAAGAACCUUACCUGGGCUUGACAUGUGCCUGACGAUCCCGGAGACGGGGUUUCCCUUCGGGGCGGGUUCACAGGUGGUGCAUGGUCGUCGUCAGCUCGUGUCGUGAGAUGUUGGGUUAAGUCCCGCAACGAGCGCAACCCUCGCCGCGUGUUGCCAGCGGGUCAUGCCGGGAACUCACGUGGGACCGCCGGGGUUAACUCGGAGGAAGGUGGGGAUGACGUCAGAUCAUCAUGCCCCUUACGUCCAGGGCUUCACGCAUGCUACAAUGGCCGGUACAACGGGAUGCGACGCGGCGACGCGGAGCGGAUCCCUGAAAACCGGUCUCAGUUCGGAUCGCAGUCUGCAACCCGACUCCAUGAAGGCGGAGUCGCUAGUAAUCGCGAAUCAGCAACGU